rnacentral:rRNA from 1 species
UUUGAUUAUGGCUCAGGAUGAACGCUAGCGGCAGGCUUAACACAUGCAAGUCGAGGGGCAGCGCGGGGCGGCAACGUCCUGGCGGCGACCGGCGGAAGGGUGCGUAACGCGUGAGCGACAUGCCCGUUGCCCGGGGACAACCGGUGGAAACGCCGACUAAUCCCCGAUGGGACGGAGGCCCUCAUGGGUCUCUGUUGAAAGUUACGGCGGCGACGGAUUGGCUCGCGUCCGAUUAGCUUGUUGGCGGGGUAACGGCCCACCAAGGCUACGAUCGGUAGGGGUUCUGAGAGGAAGGUCCCCCACAAUGGAACUGAGACACGGUCCAUACUCCUACGGGAGGCAGCAGUGAGGAAUAUUGGUCAAUGGGCGGAAGCCUGAACCAGCCAUGCCGCGUGCGGGAAGGAGGCCCUAUGGGCUGUGAACCGCUUUUGCCUGGGGGCAAUAAGGGCGUCGCGCACGUCCGAUGAGAGUACCAGGGGAAUAAGCAUCGGCUAACUCCGUGCCAGCAGCCGCGGUAAUACGGGGGAUGCGAGCGUUAUCCGGAUUCAUUGGGUUUAAAGGGUGCGUAGGCUGUGCGUCAAGUCAGGGGUGAAAUUCCGGGGCUCAACUCCGGGGCUGCCCUUGAUACUGUCGCGCUGGAGUGCGGAUGCCGCCGGAGGAAUGAGUGGUGUAGCGGUGAAAUGCUUAGAUAUCACUCAGAACACCGAUUGCGAAGGCAUCUGGCGAAUCCGUAACUGACGCUGAGGCACGAAAGCGUGGGGAUAGAACAGGAUUAGAUACCCUGGUAUUCCACGCCGUAAACGAUGAUGGCUAACCGCCGGCGACAUACUGUCGGUGGCCAAGCGAAAGCGAUAAGCCAUCCACCUGGGGAGUACGUCGGCA